rnacentral:lncRNA from 1 species
CUCCAUCCAGAGGAUAAUUGAAAUGCAAGUCAAGCUCUUAUCCACAGGCAACACCAAGGGAGGGGAUCCCCCCCGCCACCGCCCCAGUCACACCAUUUCAAUGUCUUACCGGUGGGUAGGAUUAAGAAAGUUAACCUAAGGGAUGCCUGUGUCUUUCAUGGGACCACUUACCCAGCACCGGGAGAGGUGAGUUCACUGCACUGCUCCCCUUUUGCAAUGGUUAUAGUUUGCUCUCUAACAAUUUCAAUAUGGCAUUUCCAAAAAAGUUUGAAAAUACCACUCAACAUAGUCUUAUCACUCUUCUCUUUUAAAACUUUUUUCCUUU